rnacentral:rRNA from 1 species
GACGAACCGAGCGAACGUUGUUCGGAAUCACUGGGCUUAAAGGGCGCGUAGGCGGGUUCUCAAGUCCGGGGUGAAAUCCCACAGCUCAACUGUGGAACUGCCUCGGAUACUGGGGGCCUCGAGGGUGGUAGGGGUAUGCGGAACUAUCGGUGGAGCGGUGAAAUGCGUUGAUAUCGAUAGGAACUCCGGUGGCGAAGGCGGCAUACUGGACCACAUCUGACGCUGAGGCGCGAAAGCUAGGGGAGCAAACGGG